GACGAACGCUGGCGGCGUGCUUAACACAUGCAAGUCGAACGGUGAAGCGCUUUCCUUUUUGGUGGGUGGGGUUGCGAGGCGAACGGGUGCGUAACACGUGAGUAACCUGCCCCCUUCUUUUGGAUAACCGCAUGAAAGCGUGGAUAAUACGGGAUAUCCUGGGUCUGUCGCAGGAUGGGUCUGGGUCAGAUAUUGUUUCGGUGGGGGAGGCGCUCGCGGCCUAUCAGCGUGUUGGUGGGGUGAUGGGCUACCAAGGCGGUGGGGGGUAGGCGGCCUGGGAGGGUGGACGGUCUGACAGGGACAGAGGCACGGCCGAGACUGCUACGGGAGGCAGCCGUGGGGGGUAGUGAGCAGUGGGCGAUAGUCUGAUGCGGCGGCGCGGCGUGAGCGAUGACGGCCCUCGGGUUGUGAACCUCUUUCGCCAGUGAAGCAGGUCUGCCUCGUUUGUAGGUGGGUUGACGGUAGCUGGAUAAGAAGCGCCGGCUAACUACGUG
rnacentral:rRNA from 1 species